rnacentral:rRNA from 1 species
UACGAAGGGGGCUAGCGUUGUUCGGAUUUACUGGGCGUAAAGCGCACGUAGGCGGUUUGUUAAGUCAGGGGUGAAAUCCCAGAGCUCAACUCUGGAACUGCCUUUGAUACUGGCAAGCUAGAGUCCGGAAGAGGUAAGUGGAACUCCUAGUGUAGAGGUGGAAUUCGUAGAUAUUAGGAAGAACACCAGUGGCGAAGGCGGCUUACUGGUCCGGAACUGACGCUGAGGUGCGAAAGCGUGGGGAGCAAAUAGG